rnacentral:lncRNA from 12 species
CUUUUCCCUCCUCACCCCCAAAAUAAGCAGAAUCCACAGAGUUCACACAGCGCUGGGAAGGCUGGAAAUGCCCACGGGCACGGUCAGAGUGAGAAUAAAUUCACCGAGCUCCCAGUGUCACUCCAGGAGCUAUUCCAGGACAAAAGGCUCAUCCCCAUUAACUCUCCCCCUGCGUGGCUCCUGAACGGGUUUGCCCACAGAUUCUGGGGGUCAGAAACACCGAUGACCCCAAAAGGGUCUUGCUGCUCACCGUGCACUCAAAUGUCACCUGCAGGGCGCAGCUCUGAGGGGCUGAGCUCAAACCCCCAGGGACAGUGGCUUUUGAGAUGAGCCCAGGGCUGAGUGUCCCCAAGGGGUGGCUCAGCAGGGUGACACACACGUGCUCAGCAGGGGAACCUUCCCGUUCUCGGCUGCUGGAAUCACCUCCAGGAUGACGAUGACCGUGACAUCGGCAGAUGGAAAAACGCUGCCACUGAGCCCGGCUGAAAAGGUGACAUUUGGGGCAUUAACUGCUUCCCCCCCGGGGUGCUCGGUGUCCCGUCCCUGCUCUGCUGUGGGUGUGCCCAGGGGUGUGCGAUUCCUGUGCCUUCCCACAUCCCAAAUCUGCACAGCUGCCCAGAUGUGGCACACCUACCCGAUCCCGGCACGUCCAGCCCUUCCACCACUGCCCGAUUCUCGCACAGCUGCCCAGAUGUGGCACACCUACCCGAUCCCGGCACAUCCAGCCCUUCCACCACUGCCCGAUUCUCGCACAGCUGCCCAGAUGUGGCAAACGUAGCCCACCCCAUCACAUCCAGCUCUUUCACCACUGCCUGAUUCUCGCACAGCUGCCCAGAUGUGGCACACCUACCCGAUCCCGGCACGUCCAGCCCUUCCACCACUGCCCGAUUCUCGCACAGCUGCCCAGAUGUGGCAAACGUAGCCCACCCCAUCACAUCCAGCUCUUUCACCACUGCCUGAUUCUCGCACAGCUGCCCAGAUGUGGCAGCUGGGGGGGGGGGGGGGGGGGGGGGGGGGGGGGGGGGGGGGGGGGGGGGGGGGGGGGGGGGGGGGGGGGGGGGGGGGGGGGGGGGGGG